GUCGAACGGCAGCACGGGAGCAAUCCUGGUGGCGAGUGGCGAACGGGUGAGUAAUGUAUCGGAACGUACCUUUCAGUGGGGGAUAACGUAGCGAAAGUUACGCUAAUACCGCAUAUUCUGUGAGCAGGAAAGCAGGGAAUCGCAAGACCUUGCGCUGAUUGAGCGGCCGAUAUCAGAUUAGCUAGUUGGUGAGGUAAAGGCUCACCAAGGCGACGAUCUGUAGCGGGUCUGAGAGGAUGAUCCGCCACACUGGAACUGAGACACGGUCCAGACUCCUACGGGAGGCAGCAGUGGGGAAUUUUGGACAAUGGGCGCAAGCCUGAUCCAGCCAUGCCGCGUGAGUGAAGAAGGCCUUCGGGUUGUAAAGCUCUUUCAGCCGGGAAGAAAACGCAUGGGUUAAUACCCUGUGUGGAUGACGGUACCGGAAUAAGAAGCACCGGCUAACUACGUGCCAGCAGCCGCGGUAAUACGUAGGGUGCGAGCGUUAAUCGGAAUUACUGGGCGUAAAGCGUGCGCAGGCGGUUUGUUAAGAUAGGCGUGAAAUCCCCGGGCUCAACCUGGGAACUGCGUUUAUGACUGGCAGGCUAGAGUAUGGCAGAGGGGGGUGGAAUUCCACGUGUAGCAGUGAAAUGCGUAGAGAUGUGGAGGAACACCGAUGGCGAAGGCAGCCCCCUGGGCCAAUACUGACGCUCAUGCACGA
rnacentral:rRNA from 1 species